rnacentral:tRNA from 1 species
GGUGGCUCAGUGGUAAAGUGCUUGCCUUGUAUGCAUGAGGCCUGGGUUCAAUUCCUCAGUACCA